rnacentral:misc_RNA from 1 species
GCUUUCCUAUUUGACAAUACCCACCCGGUGGUACGAGCCAAUUCGGGCUAGGCAGUCAUUUUAAGAAAAGCGAGAACGCUAAACGAGGGCAACACAAGAUCUAUGAGACCCCAUGCCCACAUCAGGUUCCGUAUCCAUGAUACCAAGCUAAACUCAAUGUUCCACACCACCAACACAAUCGUUCGCAGUGUGGUUCAAAGAGACAGCUUCUAAGUCCAUCCAAUGCCAUGUAUAUGACACAAGACGAAAGCAACUUUGAUCAAUCGAGACAAUACCAUCAAUUAGGUAGGCAACACAGGAAACCCACACUCCGCUUUAGGCGAUACAAGCCUAAGCAGACAACUGAAGAGGUAUGCCAGGUGAAAGUUGUU